rnacentral:rRNA from 1 species
GAUGAACGCUCGCGGCAGGCCUAACACAUGCAAGUCGAGGGAGAGGUUACCUUCGGGUAACCAAAACCGGCGCACGGGUGCGUAACGCGUAUACAAUCUGCCUUUCACAUAGGGAUAGCCCGCAGAAAUUUGGAUUAAUACCUAAUGGUAUAUAAGAGCGGCAUCGUUUUUAUAUUAAAGCUACGGUGGUGAAAGAUGAGUAUGCGUUCUAUUAGCUAGUUGGAGAGGUAACGGCUCCCCAAGGCGACGAUAGAUAGGGGUUCUGAGAGGGAUGUCCCCCACACUGGUACUGGGAUACGGACCAGACUCCUACGGGAGGCAGCAGUGAGGAAUAUUGGACAAUGGUCGGAAGACUGAUCCAGCCAUGCCGCGUGCAGGAUGAAGGUCCUAUGGAUUGUAAACUGCUUUUGUAAGGGAAGAAUAAGGAGUACGUGUACUUUGAUGACGGUACCUUACGAAUAAGCAUCGGCUAACUCCGUG